CCUGCACUUUACUCCGCUCUCACAUAACUGGUGGAAGGGGCCUACAGGUUUUUUUUCCCCAACCUCACCCUCACUGUGUUUUGCCUUCACAGACCCUCAUUCUCUUUCCAAUAAUGUCCCCAUCGAUCCUCGGCCCAGAGAUGGUCAGCCACGGUGUGAGGUUCAAGGAGAAGUUGAUCAAAAGGUCUUUGUCUCCUGUGAUUUUGGUAAAGGCCCUCUCACCCUGCAGGCCAGGAUGAAAUGCUGUUGAGAAGACAGCAGACACAUCAGUGCAUCCUGGGAGUUUGGCUUCAAAGGACAAUUGUGGCUGCCCUUUAAUUUGGACGAUGGACCCUGUACAGUGCAUCAUGCUGGAGGGAGGCGGAUGAAAAGGAAGAGGGAGAAUGACAGAGCUGUGACCGACUGCUUCAAGAAGGUCUGCAGGAGAGCCUGUCGGCUCUGUCAUCAGGCUCUCUUGGUGUGCUGGGAGAACACCAUGGGCAAGUGAGAAGGGUAGGAGAAAGUGGUAGUUCUCUCUUGGUGACAUGGACCCACCCCUGUGUGUUUGUGAAAAUGAUCCGUCAGAGGUGAGCUGUCCUGGGAGAACAAUGGCCCGGGGAUGCUCUGUGACCCUCCUUCCUCGUCCACCUCCUGGCGUCUCUCCUCACAGCACAGGCCUUUGUACUGUUGGACACGGAUUCUCACUGACCCUAAACAUGAGAGCAUCUCUGUGAUUCCACUCUCCUUCUUACUAUUCCCUCUUUCUGGAACCUUCUUUUAAAUGUCCCCAUCCUCCUUCUGGAAAUCUGUCAAUACCGCCUCUGCUGUCAGCUCCUGAGGACUCCAUCCUGAUGUCACCAUCUCUGAUGUCACAGCAGGACUGAGUGACUCUGUUGGAAAUCUUGCUUCCCCAUUAGCUGUCAGAGUCCCAUGGGGACUGGGCUCCUCCCUCCCUCCCAUCUUGCCUGAGGACCUGUCACAAGGGCCUCCACGUGUGGGUGCAAACAGGCUGCAUAGUAGGGGUACCUGGGUCAGGGGGGCUGAGGCGGCAUCUGCCGAGUUUGGGGCCUGGACGAGGGCUUCACCCUUAUUCUCCUUGCAGCAUCACAGACUACAGGCCCCCCUACAGUGAAGUCCUCGGCCACAGCCAUCAAGCACAUCACCUGGAUCCUCCCCGUGCUCCUCACCAGUUUCAUCAUAACUGUCUUCCUGGGCUGAGUCGUUUCCAGGAGCAGGAGACGGUGCUCCCAGGAAGUGUGACAAGUGCUCUGUCGGCCUUUCUCCUGCUCUUCACUUUAGAUCCAGGAGAUCAGACCCCGUGAAUCCUCAGUGUUUUCCGGUUACGAUGACACAGUAGAUGCAUCAUCUCAUGGGCUUUAUCACUUUUGACGAAAUCCUACUCAGCACUUUAAAAAAAAAAAAAAAA